GCAACGCGAAGAACCUUACCAAGGCCUUGACAUGCAGAGAACUUUCCAGAGGAUGGAUUGGUGCCUUCGGGAACUCUGACACAGGUGCUGCAUGGCUGUCGUCAGCUCGUGUCGUGAGAUGUUGGGUUAAGUCCCGCAACGAGCGCAACCCUUGCCUUUAGUUGCCAGCAGUUCGGCUGGGCACUCUAAAGGGACUGCCGGUGUUAAACCGGAGGAAGGUGGGGAUGACGUCAAGUCCUCAUGGCCUUUAUGACCAGGGCUACACACGUACUACAAUGGCCGAUACAAAGGGCAGCGACACUGCGAGGUGAAGCCAAUCCCGUAAAAUCGGUCUCAGUCCGGAUUGGAGUCUGCAACUCGACUCCAUGAAGUUGGAAUCGCUAGUAAUCGUGGAUCAGCAUGCCACGGUGAAUACGUUCCCGGGCCUU
rnacentral:rRNA from 1 species